rnacentral:lncRNA from 1 species
CGAGAAGGAGGUCACGCGGAUCCUCCCAAAGGCGAAGAAGCACUCGACGCCGGUGACGUUCCGCGCCGCGGGGACGUCGCUCUCGGGGCAGGCGGUCACGGACUCGAUCCUCCUGAAGCUGUCGCACACGGGAAAGAACUUCCGGAACUACGAGAUCACGGUGCGCGGCGACGACGACCCGUCCCCCCCCCAGCGAUCCGCGUCGACGAUAACGAAAACACCUGAAAACCUGAUGACCCAACGAAUAAAAUAUUUUCCCCGCGCGGACGCGUUCUCGCCAAGUGGCACUCCGCGCCUCCGCGCCUCCCGACCGCGCGACUGACCCCAAAAUCCCCCGCGUCAUCAUCACCAUCGCGACCUCAGAACGACGGCAAGGAGAUCACGCUCGAGCCCGGCCUGAUCCUCGGCGAGGUGAACCGCCUUCUGGCCAAGUACAAGGAGACCAACGGGCUCCAGACGCAGGCGCGUUCUAUCUCACACUGGUUCCCAUACGACCCCGUUGGCGUGGUGAACGCCGUUCCUUAAGGACUUCUUCUCCCGGCGAUUCUCUCCGCCCAGGGUCCCUCGCUCACAAUCCCGACACACACGCCUCGACGCCUUUCAACUCCGCUUCUGACGCCUUUCAACUCCACCCCGAUAUCAUCGCUCGUAUGGACAAUUACCCGCAGUACAAGAUGGGUCCGGACCCGUCGUCCAUCGACUCGUGCAUGAUCGGCGGCGUCGUCGCGAACAACUCCUCCGGGAUGUGCUGCGGCGUGAAGCAGAACACGUACCACACGCUGAAGGACAUGCGGAUCGUGUUCGUGGACGGCACGGUGCUUGACACGGCGGAUCAAAAGUCGCGCGACGCGUUUUUGUCGUCGCACGUCGACCUCGUCGCGGGCGUCGUCAACCUCGCCAAGAAGGUCCAGGCGGACGAGGACCUCGUCGCGCUCAUCAAGAAGAAGCACGCGAUCAAGUGCACGACGGGGUACUCCAUGAACGCGCUCGUGGACUUCCCGCCGGAGGACCCGAUCGAGAUCAUCAAGCGGCUCAUGAUCGGCAGCGAAGGCACGCUCGGGUUCGUGUCCAGGGC